rnacentral:rRNA from 1 species
GAUGAACGCUGGCGGCGUGCCUAAUACAUGCAAGUCGAGCGAACGGACGAGAAGCUUGCUUCUCUGAUGUUAGCGGCGGACGGGUGAGUAACACGUGGAUAACCUACCUAUAAGACUGGGAUAACUUCGGGAAACCGGAUCUUAUACCGGAUGAUAUUUUGAACCGCAUGGUUCAAAAGUUAAAGACGGUCUUUCUGUCACUUAUAGAUUGAUCCGCGCUGCAUUAGCUAGUUGGUAAGGUAACGGCUUACCAAGGCAACGAUGCAUAGCCGACCUGCGAGUGUGAUCGGCCACACUGGAACUGAGACACGGUCCAGACUCCUACGGGAGGCAGCAGUAGGGAAUCUUCCGCAAUGGGCGAAAGCCUGACGGAGCAACGCCGCGUGAGUGAUGAAGGUCUUCGGAUCGUAAAACUCUGUUAUUAGGGAAGAACAUAUGUGUAAGUAACUGUGCACAUCUUGACGGUACCUAAUCAGAAAGCCACGGCUAACUACGUG